rnacentral:rRNA from 1 species
UACGUAGGGGGCAAGCGUUGUCCGGAAUCAUUGGGCGUAAAGCGCGUGUAGGCGGCUGAGCAAGUCCGCUCUGAAAGCCCGAGGCUCAACCUCGGGAGGCGAGUGGAUACUGCUCAGCUCGAGUCCGGAAGAGGAGUGUGGAAUUCCUGGUGUAGCGGUGAAAUGCGCAGAUAUCAGGAAGAACACCUAUGGCGAAGGCAGCUCUCUGGGACGGUACUGACGCUGAGACGCGAAAGCGUGGGGAGCGAACAGG